rnacentral:rRNA from 1 species
GACGAACGCUGGCGGCGUGCCUAAUACAUGCAAGUCGAACGCAGUGGGGACGGGUUAGUAACACGUGGGUAACAUGCCAUCAGAAGGGAUAACACUUGGAAAAAGGUGCUAAACGGAUAUUGGUGGCUGGACCGGCGGGGCAUUAGCUAGUUGGUGAGGGAACGGUUCACCAAGGCAACGAUGCAUAGCGGAACUUGUAGGGUUAUCGGCCACACUGGGACUGAGACACGGCCCAGACUCCUACGGGAGGCAGCAGUAGGGAAUAUUUGGCAAUGGCCGAAAGCCUGACCGAGCCACGCCGCGUGAGUGAAGAAGGUCUUCGGCUCGUAAAACUUUGUUGUUUGAGAAGCGGUAUCUAACGAGAAAGCCACGGCUAACUACGUGCCAGCAGCCGCGGUAAUUC